UCUAGGUAUACUAUGGGCAAUUAAUAUUAUUAAGCACUUAUAGUUUAAUACUUUAUGCUAUGUACUAUUGAGGUUUCAUGACAUUUUAUUAUUUCACUUCAUAUACUAUCUAUACUUUAUAUCAUUUUUUUGUCAUUAAUAAUGGGAAGAUAGGUCCCAAGUAUAUUUUCAUAUGACUUAUGUGUUUAGCAAGUCAUUUUGAUUAACUUCUUAUCAUAUAACAAGUCAUUUUAUGAACCUUUCUCA
rnacentral:misc_RNA from 1 species